UACGUAGGGUGCGAGCGUUAAUCGGAAUUACUGGGCGUAAAGCGUGCGCAGGCGGUUUUGUAAGCCAGAUGUGAAAUCCCCGGGCUUAACCUGGGAAUGGCAUUUGGGACUGCAAGGCUGGAGUUUGGCAGAGGAGACUGGAAUUCCUGGUGUAGCAGUGAAAUGCGUAGAUAUCAGGAGGAACACCGAUGGCGAAGGCAGGUCUCUGGGCUGAAACUGACGCUCAUGCACGAAAGCGUGGGAGCAAACAGG
rnacentral:rRNA from 1 species